GAUACUUUGGAACACGAUCAUCGUAGCCUCGAUAUGAUGACGUACAUCGAAUGUUUUGCUCUUUGUAUCUAUGUAAAAUUACCAUACGUACAUGAGAAAACUUACAAAAUUUUUAAAGAAGACGAUCAUAAUCAAGUUGUACAAAUUCUCAAGGAGCGGAUAUUGUACCAUCACUUACUUCUUGUAACUAUCAGAUAACUACACAAUCACACGUCGCUCUUUCAUGAGUACAACGAAUUCAUUAACAUGGCAGAAAACACUCUUCAAUCGCGGAAAUUUCUGCCAGUGAGAAGUCCACCAUCAUGUUUCUGGGGUUCCACUCCGGAUUUUCCCUGCUCAAUAUUCGGAGUACCUCGGAUAUUGAGCCAGUGUCUUCAUUUUCUGGAAUAAAAACUGCGACGACAAUGUAUCCAACAUUUGAUCUGACGCAUAAAAAGAAGAGUGGCAAGGCGUACCUAUCACAAUGGAAAAUGUGUUCACAGUUUUUUCCUGCUUGAAUAGUAUUUGCAUCACAUCUCUUUACCUGCAUGUUCUGUAUGUAGCAUCCAUGAGACACAUCUCCUGCCCGUACAAUAAUAAUAGGCGCUUCAUCCACUUCGCUUGAUACACAAAUAAAAAAGUGCUUUUUACGUGUUUUUCA